rnacentral:rRNA from 1 species
CAGAGGGUGCAAGCGUUAAUCGGAGUUACUGGGCGUAAAGGGCGCGUAGGCGGUUAUAUAAGUGAGAUGUGAAAUCCCUGGGCUCAACCUAGGAACUGCAUCUUAUACUGUAUGACUGGAGUAUUGUAGAGGGUAGUGGAAUUUCCGGUGUAGCGGUGAAAUGCGUAGAGAUCGGAAGGAACACCAGUGGCGAAGGCGGCUACCUGGACAAAUACUGACGCUGAGGCGCGAAAGCGUGGGGGAGCAAACAGGAUU